UUGUUCUCUCUCUCUACAUUCAUGGCGAUUUCACCUAUUCUCUUCCUUCUCUCUCUCAAAUCCCAUGUCAAUUAGAUCUGGAUCUGCUCCCUCCCUCUCGAUUCAUCCGUAAAUCAUCGAAGCAUCGAAGGAAAACAUCAGAUCUGGAAAUCAAACAUCACCACCGUCCCUAGUCCUCACCAGCAAGAUCAGAUGUCGUUGUGAAAUCCGUCGAAGAUUAGCACUCGGCGACUACAGCUCUAAAUUAGAUCGAAAUAGCAUGGGACCAUGAAGGUAACCUUUAAACCCUAAAAUGUCUUACCAGAGAGGCUCGAUUCCCUUUCGUUGUUCGUCUAAUUUGAAGAAGGUCCCAUUUGCUACUGCUCAGUUGGGUUUGUUAUUUGAUAUCUGAGAAGUGCAAGGAGCUUGUGGAGAAAGCAAGAUCUAAGAAGCUACAACUCCAUGAGUACAAUUCAGGUAUUGGUAGAUAAUUACACAGAAGCAUAAAGGAUUUGGUCAACAUUUUACUUCCUAUAUCACUUAAGCGAGUUUCUGAAUUUGGGGAGUUACUGGAUAUUUCUUAUCAGAAUCACUACUCUCCAUCAUCCAAGAUGUCCUCAACAAUACAUGCGUGCUUCACAUUAUAAACUGGAUCUACAUGGAUUCACUCCCAUAGACAAUACCUUAAAUACUGAUGGGAACUUCCAAGAUCAGACACUUAAUGAAUAAUCCAAAUCCUUGACCAGCAGCAGGUGCUGGGGUCCACUCGUUGGUAGUUGGGUUCCCUUGCAAGAAGAAUGAUGUGAAAAUUCAACUUCAUGGACGAAAUUCAAGGCCGUCUCAUGUGUGCCAUCUACUUUGAUGACCCAACAUGCAUAAUUUGGUGUGGAGAAAAAUCAUAUUAUGCCCAAAAUGCUUAUAAGUAGUUUCGCAACAAGGCAGCAUUAUCAAGAUCAAUAAGUGUAUGUUGUCAAGUUUUAUUUUAAGCAGUUUUAGGUAUGUUGACUAUCACGUUAGCAGCCCGAUGUAAUUAUAAUUGAAGAUGGAUAAUGGAGGAUAUUGCAUAGGGAAGAGCGUGGAGUGGUAAUAUUUUGCAAAUUUUUAACAUGAAGAACACCUGCAGAAACGAUUUGACAUCCAAUGAGCAAACUUUGAAGUUAGGAUGCGAAGUAUCAUGGAUACUUUAAGAUCUUAGAGAUGAGUAAGAGGUUUUUGUAACUUUAAUUACAACUUUAUUUUGAUUACAUUGUUUCGUAGAGUUUGGAUUGAUGUUAAAUUAUGAUAUAAGAUAUUUAUUAUAUUUGUGUUAUUAUUGUGU
rnacentral:lncRNA from 1 species